rnacentral:rRNA from 1 species
CUGAGUACGGCGGAACACGUGAAAUUCCGUCGGAAUCCGGGAGGACCAUCUCCCAAGGCUAAAUACUCCCUAGUGACCGAUAGUGAACCAGUACCGUGAGGGAAAGGUGAAAAGCACCCCGGAAGGGGAGUGAAACAGUUCCUGAAACCGUGUGCCUACAAGUAGUUAGAGCCCGUUAAUGGGUGAUAGCGUGCCUUUUGUAGAAUGAACCGGCGAGUUACGAUUUGUUGCAAGGUUAAGCGGAAAAAGCGGAGCCGUAGCGAAAGCGAGUCUGAAUAGGGCGCAUAAGUAACAGGUCGUAGACCCGAAACCAGGUGAUCUACCCAUGUCCAGGAUGAAGGUAAGGUAAUACUUACUGGAGGUCCGAACCCACGCACGUUGAAAAGUGCGGGGAUGAGGUGUGGGUAGCGGAGAAAUUCCAAUCGAACUUGGAGAUAGCUGGUUCUCUCCGAAAUAGCUUUAGGGCUAGCCUCGAGGUAAAGAGUCAUGGAGGUAGAGCACUGUUUGGACUAGGGGCCCUUCUCGGGUUACCGAAUUCAGAUAAACUCCGAAUGCCAUGUACUUAUACUCGGGAGUCAGACUGCGAGUGAUAAGAUCCGUAGUCGAAAGGGAAACAGCCCAGACCACCAGUUAAGGUCCCCAAAUAUAUGUUAAGUGGAAAAGGAUGUGGGGUUGCUUAGACAACCAGGAUGUUGGCUUAGAAGCAGCCACCAUUGAAAGAGUGCGUAAUAGCUCACUGGUCGAGUGACCCCGCGCCGAAAAUGUACCGGGGCUAAACAUAUUACCGAAACUGUGGAUGAACCUCUUUAGAGGUUCGUGGUAGGAGAGCGUUCUAAGGGCGGUGAAGUCAGACCGGAAGGACUGGUGGAGCGCUUAGAAGUGAGAAUGCCGGUAUGAGUAGCGAAAGAAGGGUGAGAAUCCCUUCCACCGAAUAUCUAAGGUUUCCUGAGGAAGGCUCGUCCGCUCAGGGUUAGUCGGGACCUAAGCCGAGGCCGAUAGGCGUAGGCGAUGGACAACAGGUAGAGAUUCCUGUACCAGUGCUAAUUGUUUAACCGAUGGGGUGACACAGAAGGAUAGGGAAUCGCACGAAUGGAAAUGUGCGUCCAAGCAGUGAGUGUGAGAAGUAGGCAAAUCCGCUUCUCGCGAAGCAUGAGCUGUGAUGGGGAAGGAAAUUAAGUACGGAAGUUCCUGAUUUCACGCUGUCAAGAAAAGCCUCUAGGAAGAGUAGUACUGCCCGUACC